rnacentral:rRNA from 1 species
CAGUGACUACAAGUUCAACGGCCGCGGUAUUUUGACCGUGCAAAGGUAGCGCAAUCACUUGUCUUUUAAAUAGAGACCUGUAUGAAUGGCUAAACGAGGGCUUAACUGUCUCCCCUUUCAAGUCAGUGAAAUUGAUUUACCCGUGCAGAAGCGGGUAUAAUUAUACAAGACGAGAAGACCCUUUGGAGCUUAAGGUACAAAAAUCAACCACGUCAAGCAACUAGAUGAAAAGCAAAAACCUUGUGGAAUAUGGUACUUUACCUUCGGUUGGGGCGACCACGGAGGAAAAGAGAUCCUCCGAGUGGACCGGGACAAACCUCCUACAGCCAAGAGAAACAUCUCUAAGCCACAGAACAUCUGACCAAACAUGAUCCGGCCAAAAAGCCGAUCAACGAACCAAGUUAC